UGGAUCCAGCCUUUGAUCCUGGCUCAGGAUGAACGCUAGCUACAGGCUUAACACAUUGCAAGUCGAGGGGAAACGACAUCGAAAGCCUGCUUUUGAUGGGCGUCGACCGGCGCACGGGUGAGUAACGCGUAUCCAACCUGCCCAUCACUUGGGGAUAACCUUGCGAAAGUAAGACUAAUACCCAAUGACGUCUCUAGAAGACAUCUGAAAGAGAUUAAAGAUUUAUCGGUGAUGGAUGGGGAUGCGUCUGAUUAGCUUGUUGGCGGGGUAACGGCCCACCAAGGCAACGAUCAGUAGGGGUUCUGAGAGGAAGGUCCCCCACAUUGGAACUGAGACACGGUCCAAACUCCUACGGGAGGCAGCAGUGAGGAAUAUUGGUCAAUGGGCGAGAGCCUGAACCAGCCAAGUAGCGUGCAGGAUGACGGCCCUAUGGGUUGUAAACUGCUUUUAUAAGGGAAUAAAGUGAGUCUCGUGAGACUUUUUGCAUGUACCUUAUGAAUAAGGACCGGCUAAUUCCGUGCCAGCAGCCGCGGUAAUACGGAAGGUCCGGGCGUUAUCCGGAUUUAUUGGGUUUAAAGGGAGCGUAGGCCGGAGAUUAAGCGUGUUGUGAAAUGUAGACGCUCAACGUCUGCACUGCAGCGCGAACUGGUUUCCUUGAGUACGCACAAAGUGGGCGGAAUUCGUGGUGUAGCGGUGAAAUGCUUAGAUAUCACGAAGAACUCCGAUUGCGAAGGCAGCUCACUGGAGCGCAACUGACGCUGAAGCUCGAAAGUGCGGGUAUCGAACAGGAUUAGAUACCCUGGUAGUCCGCACGGUAAACGAUGGAUGCCCGCUGUUGGUCUGAAUAGGUCAGCGGCCAAGCGAAAGCAUUAAGCAUCCCACCUGGGGAGUACGCCGGCAACGGUGCAACUCAAAUGAAUUGACGGA
rnacentral:rRNA from 2 species